rnacentral:rRNA from 1 species
AAUCAACGCUGGCGGCGUGCCUAACACAUGCAAGUCGAACGAGAAAGUGGAGCAAUCCAUGAGUAAAGUGGCGCACGGGUGAGUAACACGUGACUAACCUACCCUUGAGUGGGGGAUAACUGAGGGAAACCUUAGCUAAUACCGCAUAAUACCUACGGGUCAAAGGAGCAAUUCGCUUAAGGAGGGGGUCGCGGCCGAUUAGUUAGUUGGCGGGGUAAUGGCCCACCAAGACGAUGAUCGGUAUCCGGCCUGAGAGGGCGCACGGACACACUGGAACUGAAACACGGUCCAGACUCCUACGGGAGGCAGCAGUGGGGAAUUUUGCGCAAUGGGGGAAACCCUGACGCAGCAACGCCGCGUGGAGGAUGAAGUCCUUCGGGACGUAAACUCCUUUCGAUCGGGACGAUAAUGACGGUACCGGAAGAAGAAGCCCCGGCUAACUUCGUGCCAGCAGCCGCGGUAAUACGAGGGGGGCGAGCGUUGUUCGGAAUUAUUGGGCGUAAAGGGUGCGUAGGCGGUUU